rnacentral:ncRNA from 1 species
CAGAGCAGAUACUGCGCGUUAAGUGUCAAGGAAUGGGAGUAGAGUCUUUGAACGAAAAGCAUUUUGUGCUUGCGGUGCAGUCUUUCAUCCGCUGU